AUAGCGUAUAUUAAAGUUGUUGCAGUUAAAAAGCUCGUAGUUGAACUUCGGACCUGGCUGGGCGGUCGGCUUAUCGGCUUGUACUGUCUGGCUGGGCCUUACUUCUUGGGGAGCUGGUGUGCCCUUUAUUGGGUGCGUCGGUGAACCAGGACCUUUACCUUGAGAAAAUUAGAGUGUUCAAAGCAGGCCUAUGCCCGAAUACAUUAGCAUGGAAUAAUAAAAUAGGACGUGCGGUUCUAUUUUGUUGGUUUCUAGAGUCGCCGUAAUGAUUAAUAGGGAUAGUUGGGGGCAUUGGUAUUGAGUCGCUAGAGGUGAAAUUCUUGGAUUGACUCAAGACCAACUAUUG
rnacentral:rRNA from 1 species